UGCCCUGGCAGUCAGAGGCGAUGAAGGGCGUGCUAAUCUGCGAUAAGCGCCGGUAAGGUGAUAUGAACCGUUAUAACCGGCGAUACCCGAAUGGGGAAACCCAGUGUGAUUCGUCACACUAUCAUUAACUGAAUCCAUAGGUUAAUGAGGCGAACCGGGGGAACUGAAACAUCUAAGUACCCCGAGGAAAAGAAAUCAACCGAGAUUCCCCCAGUAGCGGCGAGCGAACGGGGAGGA
rnacentral:rRNA from 1 species